rnacentral:rRNA from 1 species
UACGAAGGGGGCUAGCGUUGCUCGGAAUCACUGGGCGUAAAGGGUGCGUAGGCGGGUCUUUAAGUCAGUGGUGAAAGCCCGGAGCUCAACUUCGGAACUGCCAUUGAUACUGAUAGACUUGAGUACAGAUGAAGUGGGCGGAAUGUGACAAGUAGCGGUGAAAUGCUUAGAUAUGACAUAGAACACCAAUUGCGAAGGCAGCUGGCUACACAUAUAUUGACACUGAGGCACGGAAAAGCGAUGG